UACGUAGGGUGCGAGCAUUGUCCGGAAUUAUUGGGCGUAAAGAGCUCGUAGGCGGCCUGUCGCGUCGGAUGUGAAAGCCCGGGGCUUAACCCCGGGUCUGCAUUCGAUACGGGCAGGCUAGAGUUCGGUAGGGGAGAUCGGAAUUCCUGGUGUAGCGGUGAAAUGCGCAGAUAUCAGGAGGAACACCGGUGGCGAAGGCGGAUCUCUGGGGCCGAUACUGACGCUGAGGAGCGAAAAGCGUGGGGGAGCGAACAGG
rnacentral:rRNA from 1 species